rnacentral:rRNA from 1 species
AGAGUUUGAUCAUGGCUCAGAUUGAACGCUGGCGGCAUGCCUAACACAUGCAAGUCGAACGGUAACAGGCCCUUCGGGGUGCUGACGAGUGGCGGACGGGUGAGUAAUGCGUGGGAAUCUGCCCAGUAGCGGGGGAUAACCCGGAGAAAUUCGGGCUAAUACCGCAUACGCCCUACGGGGGAAAGCGGGGGACCGAAAGGCCUCGCACUAUUGGAUGAGCCCACGUCCUAUCAGCUAGUUGGUGGGGUAAUGGCCUACCAAGGCGACGACGGGUAGCUGGUCUGAGAGGACGACCAGCCACACUGGGACUGAGACACGGCCCAGACUCCUACGGGAGGCAGCAGUGGGGAAUAUUGGACAAUGGGGGAAACCCUGAUCCAGCAAUGCCGCGUGUGUGAAGAAGGCCUGCGGGUUGUAAAGCACUUUCGACAGGAAAGAAAAGCUCAGGGCUAAUACCUCUGAGUCUUGACGUUACCUGGAGAAGAAGCACCGGCUAACUCUGUGCCAGCAGCCGCGGUAAU